UAAGCCAGUGGUGAACUCCACAUACGCAUCCUUUGCUGAAGGCAAUGGUUAACGGAGCGAAAGCGACGUUCAACCGCAAAACAAGCAGAGGGGGCUUAGUGGUGGGGUGACUGCGUACCUUUUGUAUAAUGGGUCAGCGACUUAUAUUCUGUAGCAAGGUUAACCGUAUAGGGGAGCCGGAGGGAAACCGAGUCUUAAUUGGGCGUUAAGUUGCAGGGUAUAGACCCGAAACCCGGUGAUCUAGCCAUGGGCAGGUUGAAGGUUGGGUAACACUAACUGGAGGACCGAACCGACUAAUGUUGAAAAAUUAGCGGAUGACCUGUGGCUGGGGGUGAAAGGCCAAUCAAACCGGGAGAUAGCUGGUUCUCCCCGAAAGCUAUUUAGGUAGCGCCUCGUGAAUUCAUCUCCGGGGGUAGAGCACUGUUUCGGCUAGGGGGCCAUCCCGGCUUACCAACCCGAUGCAAACUGCGAAUACCGGAGAAUGUUAUCACGGGAGACACACGGCGGGUGCUAACGUCCGUCGUGAAGAGGGAAACAACCCAGACCGCCAGCUAAGGUCCCAAAGUCAUGGUUAAGUGGGAAACGAUGUGGGAAGGCCCAGACAGCCAGGAUGUUGGCUUAGAAGCAGCCAUCAUUUAAAGAAAGCGUAAUAGCUCACUGGUCGAGUCGGCCUGCGCGGAAGAUGUAACGGGGCUAAACCAU
rnacentral:rRNA from 1 species